CUGUAAAUUCAGCUGGAAGUGAUCAGCUAUGAGGGAGCUGGAAUUCGGUAGCAAUCUCCAAAGUUACAGUCUAGCAGAGUGAAGAGGUAACCAGAAACGUCACAAAUGGAGCGAAACAGAGUAGCAGUGUCUGGUCACUAAAGCCGUGGGCCAGACCACUGGAGACAGCUGAGGAUGGAGUGGAGUGCACAGAACACAGCACAAUGGAAAAGUCAGAUGGAGCCACCCUGGAAAGGGCAGCAUUGUUUGGCCUUGGCAAGCAUACACACUGCAGCUAUUAUCCUUGUGCUGGGGCAGCAACCAAUGAAUUUGGUGUGACUAAGAAAUAAAAUGCUUAGAGCUGAGCUCCCGGUGGCCUGCUUAA